UUGGAGGGCAAGUCUGGUGCCAGCAGCCGCGGUAAUUCCAGCUCCAAUAGCGUAUAUUAAAGUUGCUGCAGUUAAAAAGCUCGUGGUUGAAUUUCGGGACCAUCAUGUCGGUCGUGCCUCGGUACGUACUGGUAUUGUUGGUUUCUCCCUUCUGACGAACCAUGAUGUCAUUUAUUUGGUGUUGUGGGGAAUCAGGACUGUUACUUUGAAAAAAUUAGAGUGUUUAAAGCAGGCUCACGCUUGAAUACAUUAGCAUGGAAUAAUGAAAUAGGACGUUUGAUUCUAUUUUGUUGGUUUCUAGGAUCGACGUAAUGAUUAAUAGGGAUAGUUGGGGGCAUUAGUAUUCAAUUGUCAGAGGUGAAAUUCUUGGAUUUAUUGAAGACUAACUACUGCGAAAGCAUUUGCCAAGGAUGUCUUCAUUAAUCAAGAACGAAAGUUAGGGGAUCGAAGACGAUCAGAUACCGUCGUAGUCUUAACCAUAAACUAUGCCGACUAGGGAUCGGAUGAUGUUAAUUUUUUAAUGACUCAUUCGGCGCCUUACGGGAAAC
rnacentral:rRNA from 1 species